UGAAAUCUGAAUAGGAUCAGGAACCCAGAAGGAAGGUUCAUCAUUUCAAAUGAACUCUACUUAAGUGCAUAGAUAUUACUUUCUUCCCAUUAUUUGGUGCACUCUUUUUACAGUAAAUAAGUUCCCAUUUUAUUAAAGCAAUAAGAUAUUAUGUUUUGAGCAGUGCUAGAUGCUGAUUCCACUUCCUUGGUGCUGAAGCGACUCAUGUGUUCCUGCCUUAUGAAUCAGUGCAUUCAAGGCAUGCAAUAAUAAUCCCCUUCCAAGAAGCAGACUGUACACCCUGGAGGGCAAUGUCCUACAUACCUUUUUUUCCCAGAAGGAAUAGAGUGAACUAAGAAAUAAACUAAUUAUGUGUAUUUAAAAAAAACAUCUUGAUACCUCUAACCAUAAGCACACAUCUGUAAUGUGCUAUUAUUGUGCACCUUUAAAUGUAUAUGCCUUUUCCCCAUCCAUUAACUAGGGUUUAAUAUUUUAAUAGUGUCCAGUGUAAAGAGGAUGCAGCUCGUCAAUCACAUUUCAUACUGAGUUUAAUAUGCUGUGAACCUGGUGGCAUCACACAAGAUUUCUGUGAGCUAGAAUGAGAAUUACAUGAAAUUCUUGUAGGCCAGAUCCCACACCAAAUUAUUGUAGUAAGCAUACGGCAACGCAGAUUUCUAUAGAGUCUGCUUAGACUGCUGCUUAGAGAGCUUAACUGACCCAUACGACAUUCGAGGUUUCAUUUUUAUGAGACAAAAGGCAAUAUGAAAAAUAGCUAAAUUUACUCUAAGGAUUUUAUUUACUGCUGUCCCGUCAAACUAAUUGCUCCAACCCUCUAUAGCUACAGCUCGGUUCCCGCACUUGCUAUUCAGUAUUAAUAAGGUAGCAUGCUUGAUUCUUACUGUUUUAAAAAUGAGAAAAAAUAGAGAGAGAAUGCCAAUAUGUCAACUGUACGGGACUCUGACUCUUGAAGAUGAAGAUGGAUAUAAUCUUUAGAAUUUAUAUACACCCAUAGAUAUGUAUUUAUAUAUGCAUACAUUUUGUACAAAUUUACAACGGACUUUUUGUAUUCUCUUUUCUGUCAUUAUGAGUAUGAGACUGAAACCAAAUAGUUGCUCCAUCCUCUGAUCCAGAGAGGAUCCGAGGAGUCAGGCGUAUGCAUGCACUUGGUUCUCUGAGGUCAAAUCGGAAUGGCUUUCUCUUUAUUUAGUGGAAGGGGAGAGUCUUCCUUGGCUUGGGGAAUUGGUAAUUAGAUAAGCUUCCUUUCCUCUAUUAGUGACUCAAAUGUAGCAAUGAUAAUGAAGUCAUGACCAUCUCUAUGUGGUCCAGCUAUUUGGAUGGAUCAGAAAUCUAUCUAUCUAUCUACAAGAGCAUUGGAGCCAUCUUGACCACAAUCAUGGAUUUCAAUUCGAUUUUUCCUUUUCCCUUUCAACUUAUACGUUGUAUGAGAUACAACAUAUACCUGCAUAUGUAAAGGUAAAAUGAAACUAUAACUAUUAUUUGUUUAGUUUGACAAGUAGCGUUUUGGAAAACAUGGACAAGUUAGCUUUAAAAAUUACUGGGCAUUUGACUUUUUAACCCUUCCUGUCUGUAGCCAUUGAAUUGAUUAGAUACUUACUAAAAUUUCUUUUUCCAAUGCAUAGGCAUAGGUUUUAAGUGCUUUAUGUGGAAAAUUGCUGAGAAAUUACUAACUGAUAUUAUCUGAGAGUUAUGGGCUAAAUUGGAACCAGAAACUUUAACAUGGCUUCUAAAGUCUACUCCCAGGAGUACCUAGGCUUUGGACUGGAAUCUGAAAAGCCACUUAUUCAUGUUUGGACGUUGCGGUGUGGUUCACAGAUGUUCAUGCAAAAAUGAGUUGCCCCAUCUACACAGAAAGGUAUUUCAUCACUGGGAUGAAUAUAAAUCUGAUUCUGGUUAGUCUUUUUUCCUUAUUUGAUAACAUCUGAGAAGCAGAUGUUAUGACUUGACAUCAAUACUUAUCAAUGCCACCAACCCAAUGACAUGAUUGGUGCGGUGUAGGAAUGCUUAGUGGAGAAUAAGAACUUACUUAGCUUUAACUGAGAGACAGUGCAUUAUUUGGGUUGCUUUACCCAUUUGAGGCAAGAUAUUUCAUUGAGACUUGUGGUCUCACAGGAUUGCUGCUACAGAGAGGUUAACGACAGUGUCGGCAUCAACAGAAAAAGGUGAUUUUUGAACUCUAGUAUAUCCAAUAGAUAGAAUAAAACAGGUAUUAGAAAUUCAUGAAAAAUUUGUUUUGCUUUUAUAUCAAUAAAAGAGUUUUCUUGUUAAUUG
rnacentral:lncRNA from 1 species